CACGUAGUUAGCCGUGGCUUCCUCACAGGGUACCGUCACUUCCUUCGUCCCCUGCGACAGAGGUUUACAACCCGAAGGCCGUCUUCCCUCACGCGGCGUCGCUGCAUCGACGGGUUUCCCCCAUUGUGCAAUACUCCCCCACUGCUGCCUCCCGUAGGAGUCUGGGCCGUGUCUCAGUCCCAAUGUGGCCGUUCAACCUCUCAGUCCGGCUACUGAUCGUCGCCUUGGGUGGGCCCGUUACCCCGCCAACUAGCUAAUCAGCCGCGAGCUCAUCUCUGUGCGAUAAAUCUUUGAUAUACCGGCCAUGCGGCCACUAUAUGUUAUGGCGGUAUUAGCGUUCCGUUUCCAGUACGUUACUCCCCCUCACAGAGGCAGAUUGCUCACGUGUUACUCACCCGUCCGCCAACUAAAAGUGAAAAGCAAGCUCUUCACUCUCCGUUCACUUGCAUGUGUUAGGCGCGCCGCCAGCGUUCGUCCUGAGUCCGAGGAUACGAAACUCGUCUAGACGUACUC
rnacentral:rRNA from 1 species